rnacentral:rRNA from 1 species
GGAAUCUUCGGCAAUGGGGGCAACCCUGACCGAGCAACGCCGCGUGAGUGAAGAAGAUUUUCGGAUCGUAAAGCUCUGUUGUAAGAGAAGAACGUGUGUGAGAGUGGAAAGUUCACACAGUGACGGUAACUUACCAGAAAGGGACGGCUAACUACAUGCCAG